rnacentral:misc_RNA from 1 species
GCGGCCGACUACCGGCGCCGUGUCCCGUCCUUCGUGUGGCUUAUGUUACUGAUGCCUUUGAAGUGCUUGCGUGCCGGUACCCGUCUAACGGGAAGUGAUGCCUCACAUACGGUUGCCUCGCGGUGGACGCCUUCGGGUGUGCUACUGUGGCCAUAUGGCGCUUGCGGCGUCGCCUCGUGGUGCCGGUCAUGUACAAGUGCCGGUGCUAUCAAGGUAGCCUCGCUCUCGCUGUUGGUCUCGGAUGUUGCUCACGAUAAAGGUUCAUGGCCCUUUUUGUUGCCUCGACCCGACCCUAAGCUGCUCUCCGAAUUGAGAACAACCGGAACAGGUGUUGCCUCUACCUCUCCACAGUUAGUGGUAGGAUACGCAACAUUCUGCGCCGAUCCUCAAACAAGUAGGACGAGCUUAGCCCGCUCAACUGCGACAACCGGCCCGGGUGUUGCCUCCGCCUUGCCAUAUUUGUGGAUUGGCGGACAACUUCCGACGUWGGACGUCAAUGAGGACGUGCUACCUGGUUGAUCCUGCCAGU